GUGUGACCAUUGUUAGACGAUGUUGCCACAAUCGACGAAAAUUGUGAUAUUGAAGUGGAAGAAUUAAACUUGGUGGCAAGAAAGUCGCGAAAGAGUGUUGACUAUUGUAAGAAAAAAGUAUAAUUUGAACGCGCCAAAAGUAAUUUACCAACUAGCGAAUUGUUUACAAAUAUUUUGCAGUACCCGGAGACCGCAAUUCAUGCGAAAAAGAUUUCCUGCAAAACGCAACUUACAUCUGUCACACGCACACUAAUAAAAAGGAAAAAAGAAAAAAAAUUGGUGUGCUGGAGGAGAGGUACGCCACGCCGCGCCGCAUUGAGAAAACAACAAAUUGUGUUUGUUGCAACGAAGUCGGAGCGACGAUUAACUUUAAUUAACUAAAUACACAGAAAUAUAUAAUUUUAUCCAAGCAUAUAGUAUAUAUAUAUAUUAGUAUAUACAUAUAUACACAGCGAUAUGAACUCGAAGCGUAUUAAAUACACUACGCUGUCCAGCCCGACAGAUGCGCCGUCCAAGGAGGAAAUUGUCCCAGUUAUCAUACAGCAUGAAACUGACGACGUAGAUGGCAAUGGAGAGACAACACAGUAUACAUAUGCCUAUACGACUACUGAGGAUGACGACACUGAAACGGCUGUGGUGACUCUUAGCGAUCGUGAUCACGAGGCACUGGCCAAUGCCCAGGAGGUGAUCAUCGAUGAGAACGGGCAUGCCGUCACCCUGCAGCAGCUGGUGGAGAACAGCACCGUGGAGGAGGUGGAGACUAUUGAGCAGGGCGAUGGCACCCACACCAUAUUGCACAUUGUGCCCAAUAUAGGCGACGAAGAGGAAGAUGACGAGGAUGAGGAUGGGGAGGCCAUCGAGCACGAUGAGGACGAGAUUGUGGGCGUGGAGCAGGAAGAGGGCGAUGAGCAGGACGAGGAGGAGGAUGAAAUGGGCUCGAUUGUCUUUGAGGGCACCAUCGAUCACAGUCCCGAAUCCGAUUCGCAGUCACGCAAUAAGACUUUCUAUUGUCCCAAUUGUGGCAAUUGCUAUAGUGCCGCCGGCUCCUUGAAGCUACACAUGCGCGCCUGUUUGCGCCAGCGCAACGAGGUCUCUGCCGAGGACCGCAAGUGCAAGGUGUGCAGCAAGAUCUUCAACUCGGUGGCCUACCUCAAGGAGCACAUGAUGCGUCACACUGGCGAACAGCCGCAUCGCUGCACGCGCUGCUAUCGCAAGUUCGUCGACGAGGCCAAAUACAAUGCGCACAUGGACUCGCACAAGCACCAGGACAAGCUGGAAGCUGAGGCUGAGGCAUUGGCUGCUCAGCACGGCGGCAAGAAGGUGGUCGUCAAGGAGUUCACCUGCUCCUUCUGUUCACAGAACUUUACCGUCGUGUUCGAUGUGGGCCAGGUGAAGCGCCGCUAUGCCUGCGACGCUUGUCGCGACAAAUACUCAAAUGCCGAGGCAUUGCGCCAGCACAAGCAGCAGGUGGAGGAGAAGCGUGAGUUCAGCUGCGAGCGUUGCGGCCGCAAGUUCGUCUUUGAGGGCUUCCUUCAGCGUCAUCUGCCCACCUGUGAUGGCAGCAUCAAGCGUCGCCGCGACAUGAAGUAGAGGUGGCAGCAACGUGAUGGCAGUUGGCGGCGUCGGCGCAAAAGAUCUGAUAGAGCACUCGAAUGUGAUUUUGUGGAGGAACAGGAGGAGCAGCAGCAGCAGCAAAAGCGGCAACAUUUGACGUCCGGCCAACUUAAUAACAAACACGCGAAAUUUUUUAUCGCCCAGACGCUAAUACGUCACGAUACGCGGCCAGCGCUUACGUAAAAAGUUUGUCGUUUAGCGUAGCGUUUCUGCCCUUUUGGCAAGUGCCUUAUGUGCGUGUGUCAAUGUGAGUGUAUAUACAUAUGUGUGUAUGCAUGUGUUUGUGAGGGUGGCAGGCAAAGGUUGAGCUUUCUGCUCUGAACAGCUGAUCCCACGAUUGCAUAAUAAGAAUGUCAUUCAUUUGUACCCAAUUUGAAUUGGCAUUCGAACUCAAAUUCGAAUUCGAAAUCAAGUUCACAUACAUAGUAUGCAAAAAAA